UGGUUCAUUUUCAUGUACAAGGCAAAGGUUUUAGAAACUUUUUAUCAUUCUGUAAUAGGGUAAUAAAUGUGAAAGGAAAUUUAGAAAGAUGUUUGAUUACCAAAUAAGGAGGAAAAAGUCUGUAUUACAUUUUGUAUUAUUUCUCUUUCUUUCUUUUUUGUUUUUUGGUACAGGGUAUUGAACUCAGGACCUUGAACUUUUGAGGCAGGUGAGGUGCCACUGAGCUAAAUCCCCAGCCCAGUAUUAUUUCUAAAUUCAGUGGGAAUUGAGUAAAGCUAAAGUAGGUGGAGCACUUGCAAGGAGUACUAAAUGCUUUAUUUAGAAUAAGAUGUAAUGAAUAGUUCAUGGAUAGUAUAACUGGUAAAAAUCUAAAAGCAAAACAAAAAUCUGAAAGCAAAAUACUUCUUCAUAGCCAUAAAUUGUUUUUGGGGACACACUUUGGUGCAUUAAGAAUUAUUCUGAAAAAAAAAAAAGAAUUAUUCUGAGCUAGAUGCGGUGGCCUAUGAACUUUAGGAGGCUGAGGCAGGAGGACUGUAAGUUCAAACACAGCAUAGGCUACGUUCAACUUAGCAAGUUCAUGUCUCAGAAUUAAAAACUAAAAAGAACUGGGGAUGUAGCUCAGUGCAGAGGGCCUGGGUUCAAUCCCCAUAUUGUGAUACAUAAACAAAUAAAUAAAUACAUUCAGUACUGAGGAUGUAGCUCAGUGGUAGAGGUUUUGCUGAGCAUGCCCACAGCUCCGGGUUCUAUCGUCAGUAUCAGUAACAACAGCAACAACAACAACUAUUCUUUUCUCAAAUGACACAAAACCUCCUGGUUUACAUCUUUCUUUUUUCUUUUUUUGAGACAGGAUCUCACUAUGUAGCCCAGCCUGGCCUUGAACCCUUGAACUCCUGGCGAUCCUCCUGCCUCAGCCUCCUGGGUGCUGGGAUCACAGGUGUGUGCCACCACAAACAGCUGGUUUACAUCUUAAAUAUUCAUGAUCUUAUUUUGUGAUGUGCAGUCCCAGAAACAAAAGUCUUCAGCAACAACCAACAUUCUUCCCAGUUAGUUUAGUAAUUUGUGGGAUAUUUCGAAAAGGUUGCUUCAUUCUGUUGCACGUGAGAUUAGACAGAAAACUAUGCAGAACUGAGACAUGGAGAUUUUGUCUUUAUUUUUUUAACUGCUAAAGCCACAUUUUACACUGUUUACAUGUAACAAAGGAAAUUCAAUGCCAGUGUGGUGGCACAAGCCUGUAAUCCCAGCACUUGGGAGGCUGAGCAUGCACCACCACAUCUGGCUGACACCCCCGCUCCCGGAAUUGAACUCACAACCUUGUGGUUCCGAGGCAGGCAUGGGGCUACUGAGCUAAAUCCCCAGUCCACUGGCCGACUUUUUUUGAGCAAGGGAUAUUUACAAAUGCGUAACCCAAUUUCCAUAUAUUUGUGGAAUUUUCAGAUGUUAUUAGUCUAAUUUCCUUGGGUCUGAGUCCAUAUCUUGUAUAAUUUCAAUCAUAACUGUACUGAAUGAAUCCCUCUAGUAUUACAAAAUGUGUCUCUUUAUUACAAGUCUUUGUUGAGAAAUUUACAUUUAAUAUAACUAUCAAUAUCAGUUAAUUUUAUCACAUUAUUUCCAUUGGUUCCAAUGCUUUGUUCCUUUUAAACUCCUUCCUAUCUUCUUUGCAAUAAGUCUUCUAAAGGAUUCCAU
ensembl:lncRNA